rnacentral:rRNA from 1 species
CCUACGGGUGGCAGCAGUAGGGAAUAUUGCUCAAUGGGGGAAACCCUGAAGCAGCAACGCCGCGUGGAGGAUGAAGGUUUUCGGAUUGUAAACCCCUUUUUUUAUAGAAGAUAAUGACGGUAUCUAACCAAUAAGCACCGGCUAACUCCGUGCCAGCAGCCGCGGUAAUACGGAGGCAGCAAGCGUUACUCGGAAUCACUGGGCGUAAGGAGCGCGUAGGCGGGGUAGCAAGUCAGAUGUGAAAUCAUAGGGCUUAACCAUAGAACUGCAUUUGAAACUGUUAUUCUAGAGUAUGGGAGAGGGAGGCGGAAUUCUUGGUGGAGGGGUGAAAUGCGUAGAGAUCAAGAGGAAUACUCAUUGCGAAGGCGGCCUGCUAGAACAUAACUGACGCUGAUGCGCGAAAGCGUGGGGAGCAAACAGGAUUAGAUACCCCGGUAGUC